rnacentral:misc_RNA from 1 species
CACUAUCCCACACGAGUAUAUAAUGAAUGAUUAUUUUUCUCGCAUUAUAUUAGCUUAAAAAAUGAUGUUUGACAACUUUCUGUUAUGAUGUUCAAAAGAUUACUUUCGGUUUAUCCCUCCGCAUGCUUCAAAUAGUGCAAGUUAAAUGAAAGUAUACGACAGUUUUUUCAAUUAAAAUAUGAAAAAUUAUAAAUAAUUAUGCAACACAAUUACUUAAUGGAUAAUCUCAAUGCACUUUUUUGCAUUUCCCUACAGCAGACAACGUUUGUUUACAUUUUAAAACAGCGUAGUAAUACACAGUGUAAGACAGAAAAAUCUCACACUGCUGUCUCACACCGGACAAACCGAUCUCACACCGGUGAUAAUGCGAGAACAAGAUAUCAGCCAUCAAGAAAAAGAAAUAAUUUGUGAAAAGUUGAUUAUUUCAAUACUGGUGUUGUGAAUCAGCUAGUGGAUAAAACAUGAAAUGAAUGCAUUUUAUUGACACUAGAUGCUCAUCAAUAUGAUACAGUUGUCAGUACAUGCACCGGUAUAUUACAAACCAGUGACAGAGGACAUAUGGAGUCCAUGUGUGUUUUCAAUUAACACUUAAUGUAUGUGUGAAUAAAUACACAUGUAUAAAAGGCUUGUUGCAAAC